rnacentral:rRNA from 1 species
GUAUCCUGUCUGAAUAUGGGGGGACCAUCCUCCAAGGCUAAAUACUCCUGACUGACCGAUAGUGAACCAGUACCGUGAGGGAAAGGCGAAAAGAACCCCGGCGAGGGGAGUGAAAAAGAACCUGAAACCGUGUACGUACAAGCAGUGGGAGCACGCUUAGGCGUGUGACUGCGUACCUUUUGUAUAAUGGGUCAGCGACUUAUAUUCUGUAGCAAGGUUAACCGAAUAGGGGAGCCGAAGGGAAACCGAGUCUUAACUGGGCGUUAAGUUGCAGGGUAUAGACCCGAAACCCGGUGAUCUAGCCAUGGGCAGGUUGAAGGUUGGGUAACACUAACUGGAGGACCGAACCGACUAAUGUUGAAAAAUUAGCGGAUGACUUGUGGCUGGGGGUGAAAGGCCAAUCAAACCGGGAGAUAGCUGGUUCUCCCCGAAAGCU